rnacentral:rRNA from 1 species
AAUAGAUACCCCGGUAGUCCUAGCCGUAAACGAUACUCGCUAGGUGUCGGCCACGGUGCGACCGUUGUCGGUGCCGUAGGGAAGCCGUGAAGCGAGCCACCUGGGGAAGUACGGCCGCAAGGCUGAAACUUAAAGGAAUUGACGGGGGAGCACCACAACGGGUGGAGCUUGCGGUUUAAUUGGAUUCAACGCCGGAAAUCUUACCGGGACCGACAGCAAUAUGAAGGCCAGGCUGAAGACUUUGCCGGAUUAGCUGAGAGGUGGUGCAUGGCCGUCGUCAGUUCGUACUGUGAAGCAUCCUGUUAAGUCAGGCAACGAGCGAGACCCACGCCCACAGUUGCCAGCGUACUCUCUGGAGUGACGGGUACACUGUGGGGACCGCCGCUGCUAAAGCGGAGGAAGGAAUGGGGCAACGGUAGGUCAGUAUGCCCCGAAUAUCCCGGGGCUACACGCGAGCUACAAUGGUUGGUACAAUGGGGUAUCUACCCCGGAAAGGGGACGGGAAUCUCCUAAAACCGAAUCUUAGUUCGGAUUGAGGGCUGCAACUCGCCCUCA